rnacentral:lncRNA from 1 species
AAAUGAAUGCCAAAAAUGUGACACAAAUUGUCACACCAUAUCUUCAUGUGUCAAAAGCAGUGAUAGAAUAUGAGAAAAAUUCCAAACCAAGGCUCAAAAAUUCAUAUCACAUGUGAAGCUCAAGCAUAUGAAAAUUCAGAUCAAUUGGAUCAACACAUAGCAUUUCACAUGGCAUUGAACAUAACAUAUCAAUUAAGCACAACAUGGAUUCAAAAAUUCCAAAAUAAAAUUCCAGAAACAAAC